UGCCACAAGUUCACCACCAGCUGUCAAUCCACCACGCUGGUCGCAUGCGGGGGAGAGGAAUGUUGAUUAUCUAAAGAGAACGACUGACAUCUGCUGGACGACAAGAGCAAUGAAAAGGAAAAAAAUCAAGUAUAGAAAUGCUCAUAGUUUAAGAAUAUGUGGAUGUCUACGAUUUGUGACACUACUGUAAAUCCUUAGAGGUAGAACAGUAACAGUAUAAGAAAAGAAGAGCAGCAUGCAAUUAUGUGCUGUUGUACAUGAUAAAUCCAAACAAGGUAACUUCAGCCCUGUACCUCUAAAUCAUACAGUCCUGUUGCCCAUGAUUUUUCAACAUCUUGUUGAUUUUUGUAGUGUGCUGGUUUCUAUCAGCUCUAGUCUGGCUAUGUCAGUGCAAUCAAUCAAAUGAGCUUUGCCAAUAUAGGUCCAAAGAAUAACAAAAAUUGAUCACUGGGGGAGUCGUAAUGCAAUUUACUUCAAAAAAAAGGAUAGAUUAACACCAUCAAAUCUUGCUGAUCCACAUGUAAGCUGAGAUUUUUAAGCUAUUUACAAAUUAUUUCAUAAUGAGGUAAGGGGAUCAUUAUUAGUUGAGAGUUGCUGUAUAAUUCCAUGAAACAGGUACUCCAGCUCUAUUUUAGAGUAUUUUUCCUAUUUCGUUUUGUUUUGAGGUAGGACAUCACCAUAUUGCUCAGGGUGGUCUCAGACUUCUGGGUCUAAGUCACAAAUGCACACACACACACACACACACACACACACACACACACAGCCUCUCAUGUAGUUAGGACUACAGUGCACACCACUGCUUCAAGCUCAACUCCAUCUCUAGAUGUGAAGCCCAAGAAUCACAGAGGUAAAGGACCUUGCCCUGGGUCUCACAGGUUGUAAACCAUCCCACAGCCUUGGACAGCUGGCAAUACAUGCUCCAUAAGACCAUGAACUCUUAACAUCCUUGUGUGAUCUUUAGGAAUACUUUUCAUGACUGGAUCACACAGCGCAGUGCGAUGUCAACUCCACUUCCCACGUCUGCCACACACAGUCCAAAGAAACCCACAUGUAUCCGAGUUUAUAUGUGCUAUAUUUUUCUAUCUACCAUACCAUCACCUGUGCCACUCACCAAGUGUAUCAAUUUUAUAAAAAGUAAGAAGUAGUCCACAAACACUGACAGAAUACCCCGAUUAUAUAUGAUCUGGUCCUGCUCUGGACGCUGCUAGCAAGCAAAUCCUGGUAAAGACCCAGACAGUAAGAGAUAAUAGAGUCAAGAGAACCCAUCUUUCUCGCAGUUAAAAAUUUGGUCCAGAUCCUUGGUUUCUUCAUUAGUAAAUGAUAGAGAUGGACCAGACAAUUCCUGAGAUCCCAUUCAGCUGUUCAUCUAAUUGGGAAUACAGCAAAAAAAAAAAGAAAAAAAACCCAGACUGUGUUGUUUGAUUCAUUAUUAUUCUGCCAUAACACACAGAAUAUGAGCAUAUAAUUAAUUAUAUGGUGCAUGCAUAAUUUGCUAAUUGGAAGAAGUGUUAUUUACUUUUAGAAUUUUUGUCUUGGCUUAUAAAGCCUCAUACAUUUUGUGUGAAAGUCUGUGCUCAAAGUAGUCUAUUUUUACAAAUAAACACACUCAAAAUGUUAUCGUGCCCAAAAAAAACUAAAUCUUUCACCCUACUCUUUGAAGUCAAUAAUAAAAUUUAUAUUUUUCCUAAAAAGAAAAAUAACUUUGAUCAAAACUUAUAACACAUGCAAAAGUUGACCAAAGAUUAUGAUUUAUAAUAAAAGAUAACUUAUAUGAUAUGUAAUAUAUAGUAUCAGGUAUCAUACAAGUUCCUUUAGUCAACAAUGUUUUGCAUUUCAAGAUGUUAUAAAUUUUGAGUAUUUUACCUCCAAACUGAAUAAAAGUCAUCUGAA